rnacentral:rRNA from 1 species
UAGACCGCCUGGGGAGUACGGCCGCAAGGUUAAAACUCAAAUGAAUUGACGGGGGCCCGCACAAGCGGUGGAGCAUGUGGUUUAAUUCGAUGCAACGCGAAGAACCUUACCUGGUCUUGACAUCCACAGAACUUUCCAGAGAUGGAUUGGUGCCUUCGGGAACUGUGAGACAGGUGCUGCAUGGCUGUCGUCAGCUCGUGUUGUGAAAUGUUGGGUUAAGUCCCGCAACGAGCGCAACCCUUAUCCUUUGUUGCCAGCGGUUAGGCCGGGAACUCAAAGGAGACUGCCAGU